UGACACAGGGGCUUUACACGAUGUAUCCAUGU
rnacentral:piRNA from 1 species